rnacentral:rRNA from 1 species
UACGUGAGGGGCUAGCGUUGUCCGGAAUCAUUGGGCGUAAAGCGCGCGUAGGCGGCCUUUUAAGUCGGAUGUGAAAGCCCUCGGCUCAACUGGGAAGUGCACCCGAAACUGAAAGGCUUGAGUACUGAAGAGGUCGCGGAAUUCCCAGUGUAGAGGUGAAAUUCGUAGAUAUUGGGAGGAACACCAGCGGCGAAGGCGGCGACCUGGUCAGAUACUGACGCUGAGGC